AUCUCAGGACUCUCUUCAUCACGCAUACAUCUUUCGCCUUUUACUAAAGAUUUCCGUGGAGAGGGUCAAUUAAUGAGUCUAAAUUAAUUUUUGAAAUGCCUGACGAAAGUUGGGCAC
rnacentral:snRNA from 1 species